rnacentral:rRNA from 1 species
UGGGGAAUAUUGCACAAUGGGCGCAAGCCUGAUGCAGCCAUGCCGCGUGUGUGAAGAAGGCCUUCGGGUUGUAAAGCACUUUCAGCGAGGAGGAAGGUGGUGAGCUUAAUACGCUCAUCAAUUGACGUUACUCGCAGAAGAAGCACCGGCUAACUCCGUGCCAGCAGCCGCGGUAAUACGGAGGGUGCAAGCGUUAAUCGGAAUUACUGGGCGUAAAGCGCACGCAGGCGGUUUGUUAAGUCAGAUGUGAAAAUCCCCGGGCUCAACCUGGGAACUGCAUUUGAAACUGGCAAGCUAGAGUCUCGUAGAGGGGGGUAGAAUUCCAGGUGUAGCGGUGAAAUGCGUAGAGAUCUGGAGGAAUACCGGUGGCGAAGGCGGCCCCCCUGGACGAAGACUGACGCUCAGGCGCGAAAA